rnacentral:lncRNA from 1 species
UAAAUACGCAUUCAAUCAUCUGCUUUCCCAACCAGUCAAGCAAAGCAACAAUUCUCAAACUUUCUCAGCAUCCAAACAAAACCUAUCAAUUUUUCCAAUGUCGAUCAUCCCCAGCUUCCGACGAGGCAGCAUUUUUGACCCUUUCUCUCUCGAUCUCUGGGACUCCUUAAAGGAUUUUCCAUUCCCUUCCCCCUCAUCACUUUCCACAUUCCCUGAAUUUUCUCUGGAAAAAUCAACUUUCCUGAACCCCAGAAUCGACUGGAAGGAGACCCCAGAAGCCCACGUGUUCAAGGCAGACCUCCCGGGGCUGAAGAAAGAAGAGGUGAAGGUGGAGGUUGCAGACGACAGGGUUCUUCAGAUCAGCGGAGAGAGGAACGUAGAGAUGGAGGACAAGAACGACAAGUGGCACAGAGUGGAGCGCAGCAGCGGCAAGUUCUUGAGGAGGUUUCAGCUUCCUGAGAAUGCAAAGGUGGACGAGAUUAAGGCUGCAAUGGAGAAUGGGGUUCUGAGUGUCACUGUUCCAAAGGCAGAGGUGAAGAAGCCUGAUGUCAAAGCCAUUGAAAUAUCUGGUUAAUAUCGUCUCUGUAUUCUCUACUGCAUAUGCCCUUCACAUUAUGUACUUCUACGUUUGAUUUUAGAGAGUCAGUUGUCAUGAAUGUUGAUAUCAAUGAAAUUUGAAAAGACCGAGUAUAGCCGGUAUUUCUUUUUGAAAAAAUUUGAAAAAUCCGAAGAAGCCUGAUGCCAAAGCCUCUGAAAUCUCUGGUUAAUAUCGUCUUUGUAUUCUCUACUGAAUUUCACAUUAUGUAUUUCUUUGUUUGAUUUUGGAGUGUCAAUUGUCAUCAAUGUAAUGAGUGAUUUCUUGUAACAUAAUUGCCAUCAUGAUUGUAAUUUUUCUAAUUUGUGUUUUGCGUUUUUGAGGCUUUGCCUGGUUCCUGUUCUGAAUUGUAUGUGUUGCUUUUCAGGUUUCAUGUCUUAGUAAAAUGCUUUCUUGUGUUUGAAACUUUUUGAGUGGCAUUAAACUUCAAAUUAUAUUGCAUUGUGAUCCUAAGAUUUCUUGUGUUCGACCUUAUCUAAAAUUACAUUUACUUUUUCGCUUUGAUAUCUUAUCAUGGGCUUUGUUUGCUUUUGCUUAACCCAAUUCGUAAGCCUAAUCCUCUUGAAUCAAUAAAUAAUGAAGCAGCAGAUUUGGGAAUCCUAAUCCUAAUCCACCUAGCUUUUAACUGCAAUGAUCCAUGAGUCUCAUAAUCAUCAGAAUUUUCAUACCACUUUUGUGAGGAACAUCUCACAGUAUUUUCGCACUCCUUAACAUGACGGUAAAUAAUAUAAUGAAAUUUGUUUGCUUUCUAAAGUUUAAUUGGAAGCCUAAAGAUGAAUCGCUUCAUCCAUUUUUUGCUUUCUUGACAGCUUCAAUAGUUGUGUGAGGAAAAUCAAUAUCAUCUUAACUCUUCUAUGUAUCAUUUUAGAUUAUAUUCAUGAGACAAAAAUAAUGUCGCAUAAGAUAUUAGAGGAAAUUAAUAAUUUUAGGUAAAAUAUCUUUGAUUUAUUUGAACAUUGAGAUCAUUCAGGUAAAGUGUUUUCAUAGUUGCAUACGGAUCAAUCAUUGUAUUUAAUUUGUUUAUAUAUAAAUGUGUGAUGUUCCACACCAACAGUGAAGGUGUAGACAAGGACGGAACAACGAAGGUUUAUAUAUAAAUGAGUGAUGUCUCUAUUAUAAUAAACCAAUAUAAAAAAAAGAUGAGAUAUGUAAUCAUAUAUUGUUGAAUUCGUUUCACUCCUAAGAAGUAAAUUUAUUUUUUGGCAAUGCAAUAUUUGUUUUAUUAUAUAUAUUUUUGACAAUAUGUGUUUGAUUUGGUGUCUAUUUAAAAAAAAUAAUAGGGCUUAUAAAUCACUCAUUGAAAAACAAAUAUUAACCCACUCUUAUAAAAAUUCCUGAGUUUGUCCUUGGGUGUAGAAUUUGGAUUUUGAGACGUGGGAGGAUAAAUUGGAGAGAAGGAGAUAAAGGUUAUAAGUAAAAGAGUUUUGGAGUGGUGAAAAUAUGGCAAAUAUUUAUAAGAAUCAGUGAAAAAAAAAUAUUUACCCAACCAGCUCAUGAUUUGAGACCCACCCUACCUAAACUCUUUCAAUACGUCUUAGGCUAACUCUUUAAUUUUGAGGCAAAGCUUAGGCUAACUCUUUAAUUUUGGGGUAAACUCAAGCUUUUUUUGUCUGUCCAAACUCAGGUUUAAAUAUUAAUGAAUUUAUUCAUGUAGCAACAGGUUAAUUAUGUUCUUAAUUUACUUUUUAAUAUGAAUUUGAUCCUAAUUUCAUAAACAAACUGGCCAUUUAACGAAUUUUAAAGUCAAAUCUGAUCAAAACAUUGGAUUAAGCGAAAAAAAGAGGUAGCAAAGCCUAAAAGGCCAAGAAAUACAAUGCUACAAUGGUAACCAAACCAACACAGAGCCCCUAUGGACCACAGACUAACUAAACCAACAAAAGAACAGAACAGCUAGAGCAACCAUGAAAAGCAGAGAGAAACGAAACAAUAAUCACAGAACUUCCCAAGUACAGUCCUGCAAGAUUGAUCAUGCUUUGUUGGAUAUAGACUCCCGCGAGUAUAAUUCAGCAAUUGAGGCUUCAUUAACAGAAAAUGACAAUGAUUUGCUAGUUGGUUGAUCAGAUGAGUCAGUCCUUGUAAAUGAUGGCAUGUUCAGCUCAGUUCAACUAUGCAGAACAAAUGCUGGCUUUUUGAGGUAAUGCCAUGGUAACAGAGUAACUGCUUAGCAUGAGAACUAUGGUUUGCAUUGCGGGUCUUUCAUCUGGAUUUCCCUAAACACAGCCUCGCAAAUUUUAAUUUUUUUUUCCCAAUUCAUGCUAAUUCUUCACGUGACACUAGUUCACACCAUGAAUGAAUAUAUAUAUAUAUAUAAGAUUUGAAAAACUUGCAAAUCCUCAAAUAACUUUGUCAGACCACCUAAUUAUUCCAUUUCUUGAUUCAUAUUCAGUUUUUAUAUUUAUAUUAUGUUAUGUUCCUUCAAUUUGAAUCUCAUGGGUUUUUAUUUUUUAGUUUUUAAUUUUCUUUGAAGGGUAAAAAGUGAAUUUCAAAUUUUACAAAAAUGGCGCUGGGUAGGUUGAGUGAAUUUUGAAGUCCAGUGGUCCAUCACUCGUCUAACUGUGUUAUGAGCCCACAAAGAAGCCCCGCCCACAGAUUCUAGACAAUCCUAGAAUUUCCAGAGAAAAUCACAGAAGCGUUUGCAAGGCCCAGUCUUUACUAGAUUAUUCUUGGCUUCCUUUUAAAUAUCCAACCAAUCCUCUACUUUCCCAAACCAAUCAAGCAAAGCAGAAAUUCUCUAACCACUACAAAUCGACGCUCAAACUUUCUCAGCAUCCAAACAAAACCCAUCAAUUUUUCCAAUGUCGAUCAUCCCCAACUUCCGACGAGGCAGCAUUUUCGACCCUUUCUCUCUCGAUCUCUGGGAAUCCUUAAAGGAUUUUCCAUUCCCUUCCUCCUCAUCACUCUCCACAUUCCCUGAAUUUUCCCGGGAAAAUUCAGCUAUCCUGAACACCAGAAUCGACUGGAAGGAGACCCCAGAAGCCCACGUAUUCAAGGCAGACCUUCCGGGGCUGAAGAAAGAAGAGGUGAAGGUGGAGGUUGAAGACGACAGGGUGCUUCAGAUCAGCGGAGAGAGGAACGUAGAGAAGGAGGACAAGAACGACAAGUGGCACAGAGUGGAGCGCAGCAGCGGCAAGUUCUUGAGGAGGUUUCAGCUUCCUGAAAAUGCAAAGUUGAACGAGAUUAAGGCUGCAAUGGAGAAUGGGGUUCUGAGUGUCACUGUUCCAAAGGCAGAGGUGAAGAAGCCUGAUGUCAAAGCCAUUGAAAUCUCUGGUUAAUUAAAAUUGAGGAAUCUAAAGAUCAUCUGGGUUCUCUAGUGCAUCCACAGAGUAUGUAGUAGAAAUAAAGAGUGCCUAUGUAAAAGUGAUGGAUAUAUUUCUACAUGUGAAGUUGUGUCAUUGUGUGGCUGUCUGUGAGUGUCAAGUGUCAUCCAUCUUCUCUAUUUAAAGUUACAUUUACGUUUGUUUCUGAAUUAAUAGUCUUUUGAUAUCUUAUCAUGCCUUCGUUUGCUUUUGACUCAAUAAAUAAAUAAUGAUGCAUCAGAUUUCAGGAAAUUUAAUAUUCCCCAGUCUAGGUCGAAAAAUUCACCCAGUUUUUAACCGCAAUGGUUCAUGAAUUUAUAUUAAUUUUAAGGGAAAAAAAAAAAAAAAAAAACAUGUAUAGCCCAAGGCCAUAUUAUUUAUAAAAUUUUUAAAAAAAAUGGCUUAUAGCCGUCCGGCUAUACUAUUUAUUUAAAAAAUAAAAAAAAAAUUAGCCUAGUACAGCCGAGCGGCUAUACUAUUAUCUUAAAAAAAUUGGUCACAAGAUUAUAGCCGCGCGGCUCUACUAUUUCUUUAAAAAAAUUCAGCCCCCAGUAUAGCCGCACGGCUAUACUAUUUCUUUCGAAAAAAGUUGCCCAUUCCCAUCCUCCUCACCACUCUCCACAUUCCCUGAAUUUUCCCGGGAAAAUUCAGCUUUCCUGAACACGAGGAUCGACUGAAGGAGACCGCAGCAGCCCAUGUGUUCAAGGCAGACCUUCUGGGGCUGAAGAAAGAAGAGGUGAAGGUGGAGCUCGAGGACGGCACUUCAGAUCAAUGGAGAGAGGAAUGUAGAGAAGGUGGACAAGAACGACAAAUGGCACAGAGUGGAGCGCAGCAGCAGCAAGUUCUUGAGGAGAUUUCAGCUUCCAGAGAAUGCGAAGGUAGAGGAGAUUAGGGUUGCAAUGGAGAAUGGGGUUCUGAGUGUGACUGUUCCCAUUGGAGAAUGGGGUUCUGAGUAUGACUGUUCCCAAGGCAGGGGCGAAGAAGCCUGAUGCCAAAGCCAUUGAAAUCUCUGGUUAAUAUCGUUUCUGUAUUCUCUACUGCAAUUCACAUUAUGUAUUUCUUUGUUUGAUUUUGGAGUGUUAAUUGUCAUCAAUGUAAACUCAAGCUUUUUUUGUCAAUAAUUGUCCAAAUUCAGGUUUAAAUAUUAAUGAAUUGAUUCAUGUAGCAAAGUGAUUGAACAGUUCAGAGGCAGCCCCGCCUCCCAAAGCUUGGAAGGAUUUAGUCCAUGGCCCAAGCUAGCAAUAGCAUCAUUCGUGAAAUUAGCCUCACGGAAUACAUGACUGACAGACCAAGAAUCACAAAAGGAGCUGAUAAGCACUAUAUCUUUAAUCAAGAGGUUGAUACUCCACAGGGUCAAAGCUUUCUGAUUAACGCAGUUAAUAAUAUGUUUAGAAUCUCCUCCAACAAGAACUUUGCGCCAUCCUCUCUGAGUCCCAUAAGCAAGGCCAUCCCGUAAGGCAAUGCAUUCCGCCACAGAAAUGGUAUUGUCACCAAUGUUCUAAGCACUAGCCAGUGAAAUAUGACCAUCAGAAUCUCGGAUAACAAAGCUAGUAGCCCCUGAACCAUUCCAAACAGAACAAUCAAAAUUCAAUUUGACCCAUUCGCUUGGGGGAUUCCCAUUUAAUAUGAAGAGGUGUUUUAGGUCCCUCCACCUUCUUGCAAUUUUGGUGCUAAUAGUCUAAACUAACCUGCCCAACCAUAGUAAGCACACAAACAGGAUGUGGGUUGAUGUCUUUGAAAAUCAGGUUAUUCCUAGUUUCCCAGAUCUACCAACAUAGCAGCAGAGCUUUGGAAAGAAUGUCAGGGCCUCUAGAAGUAGUAGUAGAAGGUAGCGUACCCAACCAGGUGAGAAAGUCAAAAUUUGGAGAAGAAAUCGCAGGGGCCAGGUUGGUACAACUCCAAACACUUCGAGCAAAGGGACAAGUUGAGAAGGGGUGAGUAAUGAUUUCCCUGCGAGCAUUGCAGAGGGGCCACUCAGGGUUAAUCUGGGGUAGGAAGCUGUGUUAAAUUGUUUCGGACUUGAAGCCUUUUCCUGAUAAGUAACCAUGAGAAAAUUUUGACUUCAGGGGGAAUAGGGAGACCCCACAUUUUCUUUAAAAGAGCUACUUGAGGGUGAUAAGUAGGGGUGGACACGGUCUAGAUUGGAUCGGUUUUACUUCAUUACUAUAAUCGAACCAAUUACAAUAUGAAGGUUUGGUUUAGUUCGGUUUGAAUAAAAGUUAUAAAGAAAACUGAACCAAACCAAACCAAUUUAAGACGGUUUGGUUCGACCGGUUUGGGCCUAAGCCCAAUUCUCUUUCUUUUUGCAUUUUUUCAACAUUGUUUGCCCACUUUUAAUCAACAAAUUAACAACUUGCUUCAUACAUAAUUCAUUUUUAGAGUAUGAAACCAUCCUAAAGCUCAAAAUUUAUGAAACUUCAUAUUUCACUAACUAAUAUAGCUCAAUUCAAAUUUUCAUAUAUAGUAAUUAACUAAUUAGAGUAUUACACAUAUAAAAUAAAAUAUAAAUAAAUAAAUAUACACAUAAACGGUCUAGUUUGGUUUAGGCCGGUUUAUAAAAGCUCAAAACCAAACCAAACCAUAUACAGUCCGGUUUGAUUUUUAAACCGUUUGACUUUUUCUUGGUCAAAAUCAAACCAAACCGAUAGUUAUAUUUUGAUUCGGCUGGUUUCGUCGGUUCAGCCGGAUUGAUCCCCACCCCUACUGAUAAGAAGCAUCUUGCAUUUGCACAUUAUAUUAUGUUAUGUUCCUUCAGUAUGAAUCGCAUUAGUUUUUAAUUUUCUUUGAAGGGUAAAAAGUGAAUUUCAAAAUUUACAAAAAUGCUGCUCGGUAGGUUGAGUGAAUUUUGAAGUCCAGUGGUCCAUCAGUCAUCUAACUGUGUUAUGAGCCCACAAAGAAGCCCCGCCCACAGAUUCUAGGCAAUCCUAGAAGUUUCCAGAGAAAAUCACAGAAGCGUUUACAAGGCCCAGUCUUCACUAGAAUAUUCUUGGCUUCUUUUUAAAUACCUAACCAAUCCUCUACUUUCCCAAACCAAUCAAGCAAAGCAGCAAUUCUCUUUAACGAUUCAAAUUCUCAAACUUUCUUAGCAUCCAAACAAAACCCAUCAAUUUUUCCAAUGUCGAUCAUUCCCAGCUUCCGACGAGGCAGCAUUUUCGACCCUUUCUCUCUCGAUGUCUGGGACCCAUUCAAGGAUUUUCCAUUCCCUUCCUCUUCAUCACUCUCCACAUUCCCUGAAUUUUCCCGGGAAAAUUCAGCUUUCCUGAACACGAGGAUCGACUGGAAGGAGACCCCGGAAGCCCACUUGUUCAAGGCAGACCUUCCGGGGCUGAAGAAAGAAGAGGUGAAGGUGGAGGUUGAAGACGACAGGGUGCUUCAGAUCAGCGGAGAGAGGAACGUAGAGAAGGAGGACAAGAACGACAAGUGGCACAGAGUGGAGCGCAGCAGCGGCAAGUUCUUGAGGAGGUUUCAGCUUCCUGAAAAUGCAAAGUUGAACGAGAUUAAGGCUGCAAUGGAGAAUGGGGUUCUGAGUGUCACUGUUCCAAAGGCGGAGGUGAAGAAGCCUGAUGUCAAAGCCAUUGAAAUCUCUGGUUAAUUAAAAUUGAGGAAUCUAAGAUCAUCUGGGUUCUGUAGUGCAUCCACAGAGUAUGUAGUAGAAAUAAAGAGUGCCUAAAUCAAAGUGAUAAUAUAUGUAUGUGUCAUUGUGUGGUUUCCUG